rnacentral:rRNA from 1 species
CUACGGGGUGCUGCAGUGAGGAAUAUUGCACAAUGGGGGGAACCCUGAUGCAGCAACGCCGCGUGGAGGAUGACGCAUUUCGGUGUGUAAACUCCUUUUAUAUGUCAAGAAAAUGACGGUAGCAUAUGAAUAAGCACCGGCUAACUCCGUGCCAGCAGCCGCGGUAAUACGGAGGGUGCAAGCGUUACUCGGAAUCACUGGGCGUAAAGGACGCGUAGGCGGGUUGGAAAGUCAGGUGUGAAAUCCUACAGCUUAACUGUAGAACUGCACUUGAAACUUCUAAUCUAGAGUAUGGGAGGGGGAGAUGGAAUUAGUGGUGUAGGGGUAAAAUCCGUAGAUAUCACUAGGAAUACCUAAAGCGAAGGCGAUCUCCUGGAACAUUACUGACGCUAAGGCGUGAAAGCGUGGGGUGCAAACAGGAUUAGAUACCCUGGUAGUC